AUUCUUUUUUUUUUUUUUUUUAAAUUAUACCUUCUACAAACGUAAAUUAGCUCUAGUAAAUAUCAAGAUACUGGUAUCAUUAUAGCCAUCAGAUUGCCUUUUUUUUUGACAAGAAUUGAAUUUACUAUUAAUCCUAACAAAGCAAACACAAAAUGUGUUUUGUAUGGUUUGAAUUAAUAUACCAACAAGUGGACGAUUAAAAAAUGUUGGUUUGCAUGAUAUUGUGUUAAUCACAACUUUGUCUGACUCGACUUCAUGACAAUCUAAACUGAACUUUGUGGGUUUAAGAUUUGAAUUCUUUAGUCUUCUGACAAAGUCCUGAUUGUAAAGAUAUCAUCAAGUUAUAUUUUGUUGUAGAAUCCAGUAUUUUGGUUUAUUGUACACUUGGUUUUCAAAUUUGCUAAAUCAUUUACUGAAAUCUUAAUGUGUCAAACUUUUUAAUUGCUUAGAUAUAUACACACAUACAAUUUCACUAUGAAAUAAAAACUAUUUUUAAACAUUCA